rnacentral:hammerhead_ribozyme from 1 species
AUUCAGCUGACGAGUCCCAAAUACGAUGAAAUGCGCGUUCUAGAU